rnacentral:lncRNA from 1 species
CUAACUGGUUCGGUCUCCACUAGUGACUUGUAAUUAUUUUUAGGAUUUUUUAAUUUUUCACAAAAAUACAAAAUUAUACAUCGUUAAGUCUCAAUUUAUCAUAACGGAGAAUAGGGUGAGGGAUCCUUACUUAGAUCGGUGUUUUGAGACAUCGCACUGUCUACUACGCCUCCUAACGGGUAUUGAAUUUCCUGAAUUUUUUCUGUAAAAAUCUAAAACAUUCGUCUCAUACCUAAAAAUAUCUCAAAAAUCUAAAAUCGGUGCCCAAAGCUCUU